ACCGACGACGGGGAUUACAACGUCAAGCUGCGCAACCUGACGCGAUUCCUUGAGGAAGGCGACAGGACGAAGAUCACGUUGCGUUUCCGUGGGCGCGAGAUGGCGCACCAGGAAAUCGGCAUGCGGAUGCUGGAUCGUCUGCGCCAAGAUCUAGACGAAUACGGUCAGGUCGAGCAAAUGCCGAAGAUGGAAGGCCGCCAGAUGGUGAUGGUGCUGGCGCCGAAAAAGAAGAAGUGAUGGGCGUGCGUUGCGCGCGCGGCACGCUGCCGCGUGCGAUGCAACGCGCGAUGUAGGUUUCGAAGGCGGCCGGUACGGCGUCUUCCGA
rnacentral:misc_RNA from 1 species